rnacentral:rRNA from 1 species
CACGCCGUAAACGAUGUUCACUCGCUGUUUGCGAUACACAGCAAGCGGCCGAGCGAAAGCAUUAAGUGAACCACCUGGGGAGUACGAUCGCAAGGUUGAAACUCAAAGGAAUUGACGGGGGCCCGCACAAGCGGAGGAACAUGUGGUUUAAUUCGAUGAUACGCGAGGAACCUUACCUGGGCUUAAAUGUAGAUUGCAUUUCCGAGAAAUCGGGAUUCCCUUCGGGGCUAUUUACAAGGUGC